GAGAGAAUGAAAGUGGGAAUGAGAGUGGAGGACGUGAGGGAGGAGUAACAAAAGUGAAAUCUAUUUGAAAUUGUUUUCACUUUUGUUACUUCUCCCUCUCAUCCUCCCUUCUCAUCCUCUUCUGAAUCUCA
rnacentral:miRNA from 1 species